rnacentral:lncRNA from 1 species
CUCUGUAUCAUCAAAUAAAAUGUAUAAAAAUAAUCUAUUUAAAAAUCAGAGGAGUAUAUCAAAAUAUAUCCCUCCGUAAAGAUUUAAGCUUAAAGCACAAUAAUUAUUUUAAUUUUAUAAUUUUAAUUAAUUUAGUUUUAAAAUUAUUAAUAAUAUUUUUUUUUAUUAUAGGAUGCUGGGACAUCCGGCUCUCAUCCACCUACUACUACAGAUGACGUACA